rnacentral:lncRNA from 1 species
UUGUGAGUUAAUCGCCCCGGUUUACACAUCAAUAACCUCUAGAAAAAAUGUGUUUAAUCCUAUAAAAAAGUCACUCAUAAUAGGUGGGCUAUAUUAAUUUUUACAUAAAUGUUUGGGAACUGCAAAAUAUACAACUAUUAACCAAAUAUAUAUAAAGGUUCAUCUCAUGAAGUCAGUAUCCAAGUAAAAGGUCAGGUUGAUAAUUCUUUUCACUUACCGUAAUUGAUUGGUUCAAUCUUUCAUCUCAUUUCAUACGGAGAUGAUUGUUUAAACAUCCUUAAAGGAGUGCUUUUGUAAGUAUGAUAACAUUGAGCCCAAUGUAUGCUUUCAGGCAAAACAGGUUUUUAUACCCCUGCUCUAAAAAAGGGGGGUAUACUUUUUUACCUCUCUCUGUCCAUCCAUCCAUCAAUUAAUCCAUCCAUCUGUUAGUCAGUCCGUCCCAUGAAUAUUUUGGUCGCAUUUUUCUCAGGAACUACUUGACGGAUUUCUGAAAUUUGGUUUCAUGGUUUAUACCGUGCAAUGUGUUUCAUAUUCCUCACUCAACAACUUCCUGUUUACCGAGUCGAAACACUAGUUUUAUUUCACACAUAAUAGCCAAGUUGAAAAUUUUCGUCACAUUUUUCUCAGGAACUACAAUACAAGGAUUUCUGAAAUUUGGUUUCAGGAUUUAUAUAAGUCAUCUAUACUGUGUGAUGUGUUUUCAAAUUAUUCAUCACUCAACAACUUCCUUUUUACUGAAAUGUUUCGCGUGGGUAUCAUCAGUGAGCAGUAGAUUGCAGUUUUACUUGUUCUUUUACAAAUUGUGACUUGGAUGGAGAAUUGUCUCAUUGGUACUCAUACCACAUCUACUUAUAUCUAUUUAGAUACUUAAAUACUGUUCAAUUCAUAUCUUGAAAUUUACUGUCUGAAUUUGAAUACAAACAUCACUAUGUCAAGAAUGGUAAUGAAGCACAUACACGGCUUCCUUUGUGAAAUGGUUUUGUUUAUGGGUAAAGGUAAAUAUUCAAUGUGCUAAAUGCUUUAUAAAGUUAAUUCAAGUUAUUUGGGAAUUCUUCAUCUGUAGUAUGAUUAUACACAUACUUCAACAGCUUAAGGAUCGGAGUAAUUGCAUUAACUUUGUACUCUCACCUUUUCAAUGUCUGUGUCUGUUCUUGCUAGGGCAAAAUCAUUUCAAAAUAUUUUCCUCUUCAGUUUUAAACAAAUUAUUUUUCUUUGAAUAUCAUAAAAGUUCCUUUCUUUUCUAUUGAAUUUAGCAUUGCAUACAACAUUGUUAAAUCAUUUCUUAAAACUCAUUUGUGGUACAAUGUACAUGCACAAUGUUUAAACUUUAUAAAUCAUGUAUUAUAGAAAUAUUUUAAUAAAUUGUUAUCAUUGGGAAUUUGGCUGUAUAUUAAUGCAUUCUGUCAUGCCUUUUAAGGUUGUAGCAUUUAUUUGCUAUAUUGUAAAAAUGGGGGAUUUAUGUAAAUUUGUAUUAUGUAUUCACAUGUAUAGCAUUACCAUGAAUCGUAUAUUGUUGAAAUAGUGAUUAUGAGUGGAAAAGGUAAUAAAAGAAUAUUAAAAUAGAA